rnacentral:rRNA from 1 species
UACGUAGGGACCAAGCGUUGUUCGGAUUUACUGGGCGUAAAGGGCGCGUAGGCGGCGCGGUAAGUCACUUGUGAAAUCUCUGAGCUUAACUCAGAACGGCCAAGUGAUACUGCAGUGCUAGAGUGUGGAAGGGGCAAUCGGAAUUCUUGGUGUAGCGGUGAAAUGCGUAGAUAUCAAGAGGAACACCUGAGGUGAAGACGGGUUGCUGGGCCAACACUGACGCUGAGGCGCGAAAGCCAGGGGAGCAACCGGG